rnacentral:ncRNA from 1 species
GAGAGACCAGUGGUGCGAAGCUACCAUCCGUGGGAUACGACUGAACGCCUCUAAGUCAGGAUCCCGUCUAAGCAGUGCAAUGAUAUCCUGCGCACUUGAACCGUUUACAGGUGACGUUAGGGUUUCUUGGGUCGAUCGCGGCGGGCCGCCGCGAUUCCAGACGCGACGACGCCACGUGGACGGGGGGGGGGGGGGGGGAGUUAGUCGUUCGCCGAGGUAACGCUGCGAGUGACGCUCCCAUGCACUCGUUUUUGGUGUGAACCGCUGCGGUGUCAAAUCGUCUGUAGACUACUUAGGUACCUGUCGUGGUGUCGUAAUUAGUAGAGCAGCCACCACACUGCGAUCUAUUGAGGCUCAGCCGUUGACCGGGAGGUUUGU